rnacentral:lncRNA from 1 species
AGGGGGAGGAGAUCUGUCUGGAGCCAGCGAGCCGGAGGAGGAAGAGGAGGAGGAAGGAGGGGAAGCCGCCGCCGCCGCCGCCGCGCUCCGGGGACCUGGGCGCGCGCGCUCCGCUCGCCCGAGACCGUGCCUCCAGCCCCGGGCCCGCACCCGGCCCAGGGGGAGCUGCCCUGGUGACCAUUUGUCCUGCGCUCCGUUUGGACCCAUGCUCUUCCUCUGUGUCCUGCGAUGAGGAGAAGAUGUCCGUGACGCCCACGGGGAGGGACCCACCAGCCCGUCCCUCUCAGCCGUGUCAGGUCGCCGGGGGGCCCUGACCCAAAGCAGGACCAGCUGAGCUGGAGCUGCAGGGUGGAGCUGUCCGGAUGCGCAGGCCGAUGGGGACGGAGGUCACGGCCAUGGCAGGACGCGGGCGGACGACGAGAGGCGGCGGGCAGUGAGGGAGGCGCGUCCCUCCCAGCACUCGCGCCGUGCGACCAUGCGGUUUGGGACAGGACGCCCCUGAGUCUGCAAGCAGCCUCCCCUCCCGCCCCCUGUCCCUUCGGAGGCUGCAGCCCGGCCCCCCACCCAGUCCCCCCACCCCCACCCCUGGGCAGGCUGAGCGGGGU